GUGGGGAAUCUUCCGCAAUGGACGAAAGUCUGACGGAGCGACGCCGCGUGAGUGAAGAAGGCCUUCGGGUCGUAAAGCUCUGUCAUCAGGGACGAACGGCCGGUGGAGUGGAAAGCCACCGGAUUGACGGUACCUGAGAAGGAAGCCACGGCUAACUACGUGCCAGCAGCCGCGGUAAUACGUAGGUGGCAAGCGUUGUCCGGAAUUAUUGGGCGUAAAGCGCGCGCAGGUGGGAUCUUAAGUCCAUUUUUAAAGUUCGGAGCUCAACUCCGUGAUGGGAUGGAAACUGGGAUUCUUGAGUACCGGAGAGGAAAGCGGAAUUCCCCGUGUAGCGGUGAAAUGCGUAGAUAUGGGGAGGAACACCAGUGGCGAAGGCGGCUUUCUGGACUGUAACUGACACUGAGGCACGAAAGCGUGGGGAGCAAACAGGAUUAGAAACCCCAGUAGUCC
rnacentral:rRNA from 1 species